CAGAAAUUCUGCGUGGGAAGGAUGAGAAGCUUCGAUUAAGGUUCGGGUCUCGCUUUAGCGAGACAACGUUGCCUCUGGCAACGGCCCGCAGGGUGAGGAGCGCAGCGACGAAUAAUCCUUCCCCCACCACCA
rnacentral:sRNA from 1 species